rnacentral:lncRNA from 1 species
GUGAAGGAGGGCACUGUAGUGCUGCGGCGGGCCUGACCAAGGUCCCCGUUUCCCACAGGCUGCGUACGGAGUGGAGGUCUACAGGGUGGGUCGUGUUCUAGAAUAGGGUAGGCGACCGUCUCCAAACUGCUCUGGACCAGGCUCUGAGGUGGGGGAGCCAGGCGUGGUGAGCGUAUGCGCUGCUGAGACCUGGGGGCAUCAGAUGGUUUACCUACCAAGAUCUAUUCAUAGAGAGUCUGGGGGAAGAAAGUACUUGAGUAAGAAGAAAGCAGCAUCAUGGAGGACAUAAUAGAUAGAACAACUAGACAGAAGAUUAACAAGGAACUGGAGGCCUUGACUACACUAUGAAUCAACUAGACCUAACAGAUACAUACAGAACGAUCCAACUAACAACAGCAAGGUACACAUUUUCCUCAAGUUCACAUGGAACAUUCUCCAAGAUAAGUCCUAUCUUAGGCCACGAAACAAAUCUCAAUAAAUGUAAAAACAUUGAAAUCACAGAAAGUAUCUUUUCCAAUCACAAUGGAAUGAAAUUAGAAAUCCUUAACAUAAGGAAGUAUGGAAUUUCACAAAUAUGAGGAAAUUAAACAAAUUAGAAAAUACUGUAAAAUGAAUGAAAAUAAAAUACAACAUAAUGAAAUAAAUGAGAAACAACAAAAUGAGUGCUGAGAGAGAAAUUUAGAGCAGUAAACACCUACAUUAAAAAGUAGAACGAAUUCAGGGCCAGCCCUAUGGUCGAGUGGUUAAGUUCAUGUGCCCUUCUUUAGUGGCCCAGGGUUCACUGGUUCAGAACCUGGGCACCGACCUACACAUCACUCAUCAAGCCAUACUGUGGCAGCAUCCCACAUAGAAGAUCUAGAACGACUUACAGCUAGGAUAUACAACUAUGUACUGGGGCUUUAGGAAGGAAAAAGAAAACAAAAAGAUUUGCAACAGAUGUUAGCUCAGGGCCGAUAUAGAGAUUAGAGUGGAGAUACCAAAAUAGAGAAUAGAAGAACAAUAGAGUCAACAUUAUGAAAAGUUUCUUCUUUGGAAAGGUCAAUAUUGACAAAUCUUUAAGUAGAUAGACCCACAAAAAAAGAGAGAAGGCUCAAAUGACUAAAAUCAGAACUUAAACUGGACGUUACUACUGACUACGCAGAAAUAAAAAGAAUUGAAAAAACAGUUGAAAUGCUAAGACCAUUCAAUGGAGAAAGAAUAGUCUUUUUCUAUAAAUGGUGCUAGGACAACUUGAUAACCAAAUGGGAAAUAAUGAAUUUGGAACCCUACCUCACACCAUAUAAAAAGGUAAUUCAAAAUGGAUCAAAGAUCUAAAUGUAAGAGCUAAAACUAUCAAACCCUUAGAAGAAAACAUAGGUUUAAAUCUUUGUGACCUUUCAGUAAGCAAAAAUUUCUUAAAUAUGACAGCAAAAGCACAAGCAAAAAUUAGAAAAACAGAUACAUUGCAC